AUGCCUCCAAUUGCAUCUGAGAAGCAGGUUAUAGACAGAUUAUAUGUCCGCGUCCGUCGAUCUGUUGUUACCAUUGAACGACGUAUAGGCAAUGAAUUUGUUGGAUUUGGUACUGGUUUCAUCAUUGUUUCGGAUCAGGAUCAAGUACUCGUAUCUGUUCAUGAGUCUAUAGUCAAGGAUGGGGAGAAACUGAGCGUUCGAUACUAUACCGGUGAUCUGCAUGAGGCCACUAUAUUUCUGACUAGCACACCAUCCAAGCAUGUUAUUUUAAAAUUAAGUCCUCUUCCCCGUUCUCAUCGCCAUCAUGUCAGCUUUAGUGAAAAAAUAGUUAGAAGACAGAAUAUUUUCACAAUUGCAGCGGUGGAAAAGUUCGGGGAUUGCGGUUUAAUGACUGGCACAAUAAGCAACCCAAACUGUGAAGCGGUCACAAGAUCAAACACAGCUAUUGUGCGCGGGAGCAAGAAUUUAUUUGCAAUGAGUUGCCCUGCGGCUGGACCGAAAACCAGAGGACAAUCAAAUGGAGAGGAUUUGCAGUUAGUCGGCGCUGCAGUAUUCGACAUGGAUGGCCUAGUAAUUGGCUCGGUUGACCGCGUUGAUCUGCGUGCCUUUGAUAUAAAAUAUUCAAUGAAAACAAGUUCAUUUUUGAAUAAUUUGGAAUGCUUGCUAAAGGAUAUGGAUGAUACGAUUGUUCUUUCAAAGGGUAAACAAGGCUUCAACAAAGGAGCUGGAACUAGCAAGCAAGGAGGUAGUACUGCAGGAUCAAGUAGAAAAAGGCGUCGUGAUGAUCCACCUGGAGGUGGCACAAAGACAAAAGAAAGUUUAUGCACAGAUCAACUCAAAGUGCACAUGGAGGUGGCCAGAGAAGAAAAUCCAUCCUUUCUUGGAAGAAAAGAAGAAAUGCGACGGGAACUUUUUAAGCAUGUCACCCGAGAAUCAGUGGAUGGUUCAACUUCCUAUCUUCACCAGGCGAUUGGGCUUUCUGAAGCAUUGGGCUCUGCUGUGUCCCCUGACUUUGGGGCAGGUGCUGGAACAUUAGACGCUCGCUUCAGAAAAGAAAAUGUGGGAGAUUCCCCAGCUGUGCUGUAG
rnacentral:rRNA from 1 species